GAUGAACGCUGGCGGCGUGCCUAAUACAUGCAAGUCGAGCGAACGGACGAGAAGCUUGCUUCUCUGCUGUUAGCGGCGGACGGGUGAGUAACACGUGGAUAACCUACCUAUAAGACUGGGAUAACUUCGGGAAACCGGAGCUAAUACCGCAUAAUAUUUUGAACCGCAUGGUUCAAAAGUGAAAGACGGUCUUGCUGUCACUUAUAGAUGGAUCCGCGCUGCAUUAGCUAGUUGGUAAGGUAACGGCUUACCAAGGCAACGAUGCAUAGCCGACCUGAGAGGGUGAUCGGCCACACUGGAACUGAGACACGGUCCAGACUCCUACGGGAGGCAGCAGUAGGGAAUCUUCCGCAAUGGGCGAAAGCCUGACGGAGCAACGCCGCGUGAGUGAUGAAGGUCUUCGGAUCGUAAAACUCUGUUAUUAGGGAAGAACAUAUGUGUAAGUAACUGUGCACAUCUUGACGGUACCUAAUCAGAAAGCCACGGCUAACUACGUG
rnacentral:rRNA from 1 species